rnacentral:lncRNA from 1 species
CCAUCUUAUGAAUUAUCCUGACCAAAAUUUUACUAAAUUGAAAUACACUGAUGCAUAUCUCCUACUAAUUCAGAGGGGUCAAUUCCAUCUUGACUCACACACCGACUUGAUAAGUAUUUAACUGCACCCAAUAGCCUUCCGUCACUGAGUUAGAAACUUAGAUGGUCUGAUACUAAAGUAUAGUGAGUUGCUUAUAAGUCACCGUGGUGG